CUACGAAAGGAAGUGGACGGGGGCCCGCACAAGCGGUGGAGCAUGUGGUUUAAUUCGAUGAUACGCGAGGAACCUUACCUGGGCUCAAAUGUAUGUUGACGUAUUCUGAAAGGGAUACUUCUUCGGACAAUAUACAAGGUGCUGCAUGGUUGUCGUCAGCUCGUGCCGUGAGGUGUCGGGUUAAGUCCCAUAACGAGCGCAACCCCUAUCAUUAGUUGCCAUCAGGUCAAGCUGGGGACUCUAAUGAAACUGCCUACGCAAGUAGUGAGGAAGGUGGGGAUGACGUCAAAUCAGCACGGCCCUUACGUCCAGGGCUACACACGUGCUACAAUGGUCGGUACAAAGGGUUGCCAAGCCGCGAGGUGGAGCUAAUCCCAUAAAACCGAUCGUAGUCCGGAUCGCAGUCUGCAACUCGACUGCGUGAAGUCGGAAUCGCUAGUAAUCGUGAAUCAGAAUGUCACGGUGAAUACGUUCCCGGGCCUU
rnacentral:rRNA from 1 species